CUUUAGAACAAAAUAAUGUGAACCUCGCUGCUGCAGCCCCGUUUUCCCCUUUCAUUAGCACUCUUUUAAUCCCUAUAGAGUUUAGAGUAGCUUUAAUUCAAACUAAAUUCGAAACACCCGAAGUUAAUAAAUCUCUGAAAACGGCGGAAUCUGAAAUACAGUCCAUCACUCAGGCUGAAGGCACAGAGGUGGUUAAAGUCUGUGGCAAAGCUCCAGGAGGCCCUGCAGACAUCAGCAGCCACAACCGGAAGUCCCCCAUAAACGAAGGAGUUUUAGGAUGAGAUCCUGGAGACAAGCGGCUUACAUAAACAUCCUAAAAACCCCGGAUUCUCUGGAGGGUCUUUGGUUUCUGUGCGCCUUGAAGACCUGGAGGAGGAUCCUGUGGACAAGGAGGUCUGGGCAUCUCCGCUGAAAAUCCAACCCAGCAUACGCAGAAGAUGGAUGGACGGAAGGUAUUUUUACCCUUUUUUUGGUUUUGUUUCUUUUACACAUUUCUUUUCAAAAUAAAAUGAUAAAUCCAUUAUUAUUCAUCAUAAACUCCAAAUAGACUUGCUUAUAAAUGUUACUAUCAAUGACAAAGUACCUUAAAAGUUUAGUUCUUAUAAUUCUAUUCUUUAUACGUGUAUUAACUGCUGCAAAAACAGGCAGUAAAACAAACAACUUGGUUCCAGUUUGUACUUUUCUCAUAAAAUAAAGACAAGACAUAAAAAAACCUGUAGUUUUAUUUCUCUUUAAUUGACAAUCAUAGAUUAAAUAGAAGUUACAACUUUGUGUUUAAUUUAUUUAUUACAGUUUCCACAACUAAGGCACUUUAUGUAAAAACCAGUUUCUGUAAAAUGAAAUAUAAUAAAUCUAUCUAAAAGAGCAUCAACAAAUAUUAAUAAUACUAGUCAAUAAGCAGCGAUUGACUAAAAUUUAAGCAGUCUUCAAUAGCUUCUAUGUAUAAAUAUAAACUUUCAUCCUCCCUUAAAGUUUCUGGGUUUAUCUUCUGUAAUGAAGUUCACACUUCCUAACAUCCUGCAUGCUACUCGACUACAGAUUAUGCAAUAGUGAUUAUGGAAGUUUAAAGAAAAACCUUAAAAUUAAAACUUAUUUUCCUCAUUAUUGUCUUCUCUGUUCUCUUUAUUCUGUCAUUUUUUGAUCAGUUUUUAUUCCAUCUUUAACAAAAGUGUGUCUCUUUUUAAUAAAAAAAAAAAAAUCUAAUAGUAGUUCUACUGCACUGUAAUUUUUCAGAUUUGUGAAACUGCUCAUGUUUGCAUUCACCUCCUUAAUGUUGUCAUCUUUCUUUUAAAUAUUAGAGAUGAUCUUGACCAGAAUCUACCCAUAAAGAGACUGAAUUUUGAAAAAUGUGCAACAUUACUCAUAAACUUGCUCUGCUUGAGCGGUUUUUUUUAACCAGGUGAAAUUAAAUUUUUAUUCGAGACAUUAUUUCAAGGAAACAUGAGUAUUUUUUGCUGCUAUGAUCUUUGGUCACAAGAGGGCAGCAGAGCUACCAAUGUUGGUGUAAUUUACUUAUUUUGACGAAAGGAAAUACGUACUAAACAAAACAUUGUUUUCAUUUUCUUUCCAGCACACAAGUCAAAAAUAUAUAUUAUUUGUAUGUCUUUGGUAUUUGUUACACUUUUAAAAGCUCACCAGCUUCUUCAAAGAUUUUUUUGUGGUCUUUCGUAAAGGCCUUUAGUGUGUUUCAAAGUCCCACUCUGAUCCUCUUUUAUUUAUUUUCAAAGUGUUUCCAUUGGUAUGUUAAUUAUGAUUAUGCCGCUUAUAGUCAAGAUAAACAAAACUAGUAUCUUUUUUUUUUACAUAAUUUCUGCAGAUCGGCAGUACUUUAUUUGAAAUUUCCCUCUACAUUGUGGAUGGGACCAUUGGCGUGGAGCAACAACCCCCUUUCCCCUCCUGGUUUCUGAGAGCUCUCUGUUUACAGUCUCUCCUGUUAGCUUACAUCCCUUACCAACAAAAAUGGCAAGCUAUCCAGAUGUACAGUCUAGAGCCAGAUGGCUCGGACUAAGAGAUUUAUGGAUCUAUUUUGUUUACAAGUGGAAGCAUCAGAAUGGAGCAGAACAGGGAGCUUGAGUAUUUUCUACGUCACAAAUAACCUCUUUUUUCAAUCACGUUUUUUAUGGUCUGCUCCUUUUUUCGUGUUCAUAACCAUUUGAACAAAGACAUUCUCAUAAUUGUAAUUUUAAGCUAAAUUUUCUCAAUAUAUGUCCUCCAUCAUCAGAAAAACACCACAUGAACAUGGUAAAAAGCAAAAACAACACAAUUUUCAUCGGAGUCAUUAACUAGCAAUUUAAAAAAAAGAAAGAAACCCGCCUCAAACUAAAGUAGAAAAGUAACAGAAUGCCGAGGGUCAUCAUGAAAACUAACCUCAAAAGGAAAAUCUAAAUUGGUCCAUUUGAAGAAGCAAACUUUCAGAUUUGACAAAAGUUUUAAGUGCUGCUAGAAAUUCAAAUUCGCUAAUUUAGCAAGAAAUGCUAACUCUGACCGGUUCUGGCAUCUCAAAACAGCGUAGCAACACAGCCAGAUAGAUCUAAAACCCAAACAGUCACGUGUUGAGUCCACACACGCUUUUGUUUCACAAACUAGACAAAAAGUAACUAGAACAAAUACAUUUUUUUGGACGUUUCCUCUGUUGAUCAUUUUGAUUUCUUUAAGGGUCCACAUCAUGCUAUUCUUAAGCCUUUCGUAUUACAGCUUUGGACCGUUUUGUUUUUUUUUGUGAGGAGUUAACAUUAUAAUACACUUAAAAGCUCAAGAAGUUAACUUUGGAUGAUAUAGGCCCUUUAAAAAAAAGUGUUGGUCAAGGAGGCAAUAUAAUUUUGUUACCCAUCAAAGUUUGGAUGCCAACGCCUCGGCUUAGAAAGUAGCUAUUGGCUUUUGUGAAAGUCCGCUGGAGGUAUCGGCAGCAUUUGGCUCAACCAGGUGCUUUCAAUUUUGUCUAAAAAAAACCUGCAAAAUUCAAAAGUCAGUCACUCUAAUGGAAGCCAUUUCAAAAAAAUUUUUUACGCCUGUCCAAUCCCCCCCAGAAAAGAAAAAAAAAUUCAAUUUUUUUUAUCUUAUAAUUUUUCAAAAACUGAUUCAUAAUUAAUAUUUAGACAGCCGAGUUAUCUUGAGAUAAUAAAAGCUGUUAACUCCU